rnacentral:rRNA from 1 species
AGCAGCCGCGGUAAUUCCAGCUCCAAUAGCGUAUAUUAAAGUUGUUGCAGUUAAAAAGCUCGUAGUUGAAUUUCGGGAUCAGUAAGCCGGUCGUACCUUCGGUAUGUACUGGUGUCACUGAUUCCUCCCUUCUGAUGAACCGUUAUACCAUUUAGUUGGUGUGGCGGGGAAUCAGGACUGUUACUUUGAAAAAUUAGAGUGUUUAAAGCAAGCUCGCGCUUGAAUACAUUAGCAUGGAAUAAUAAAUAGGACGUUUGAUCUCCUAUUUUGUUGGUUUCUAGGAUCGACGUAAUGAUUAAUAGGGAUAGUUGGGGGCGAUUAGUAUUCAAUUGUCAGAGGUGAAAUUCUUGGAUUUAUUGAAGACUAACUACUGCGAAAGCAUUUGUCCAAGG